UAAACCAAUGAUGGGCGCAGCUUGAUGCAGCAUGCGCGUGUGUGAGAAGGCCUUCGGUUGUAAAGCACUUUCAGUCGUGAGGAAGGUGGUAGUGUUAAUAGCACUAUCAUUUGACGUUAGCGACAGAAGAAGCACCGGCUAACUCCGUGCCAGCAGCCGCGGUAAUACGGAGGGUGCGAGCGUUAAUCGGAAUUACUGGGCGUAAAGCGCAUGCAGGUGGUUUGUUAAGUCAGAUGUGAAAGCCCGGGGCUCAACCUCGGAACUGCAUUUGAAACUGGCAGACUAGAGUACUGUAGAGGGGGGUAGAAUUUCAGGUGUAGCGGUGAAAUGCGUAGAGAUCUGAAGGAAUACCGGUGGCGAAGGCGGCCCCCUGGACAGAUACUGACACUCAGAUGCGAAAGCUUGGGGAGCAAACAGGAUUAGAUACCCUGGUAGUCAAAAGGGGGGGGGGAAAGGAGGAUUAUAUGUUU
rnacentral:rRNA from 1 species